AAAUGGCCCCAAAAUGGCCCCAAUGGGGUCAAAAUGGCACCCGAGUGGCCCCAAAGGAUCUCCAAUGGGUUCCGCUGUCACCAAUGACCCCAAAAUGGCCCUAAACGGCCCCAAAAUGGCCCCAAAUUCGACCCCAAACGGCCCUAAAAUGGCCCUAUAGGGUUCUGGUGGGCCCAAUGGGGUCAAAUGGACCCAAAGUGGCCCUAAAAUGGCCCCAAUGGGGUCAAAAUGGCACCAGAGUAGCCCCAAAAGAACUCCAAUGGGUUCCGCUGCCAACAAUGGCCCCAAAACGACCCCAAAUGGCCCCAAAAGGACCCCAAAUUCGACCCCAAAUGGCCCUAAAAUGGCCCUAUAAGGUUCUGGUGGGUCCAAUGGGGUCAAAUGGACCCAAAGUGGCCCUAAAAUGGCCCCAAUGGGGUCAAAAUGGCACCCGAGUGGCCCCAAAAGAACUCCGAUGGGUUCCACUGCCAACAAUGGCCCCAAAACGACCCCAAAUGGCCCCCAAAGGACCCCAAAUUCGACCCCAAAUGGCCCUAUAGGGUUCUGGUGGGCCCAAUGGGGUCAAAUGAACCCCAAGUGGUCCCAAUGGGGUCAAAAUGGCACCAGAGUGGCCCCAAAGGAUCUCCUAUGGGUUCCAGUGUCACCAAUGGCCCCAAAA
rnacentral:lncRNA from 1 species